rnacentral:rRNA from 1 species
CGAAGCGUGCGAUUGGAUUGCACGUCUAAGCAGUAAGGCUGAGUAUUAGGCAAAUCCGGUACUCGUUAAGGCUGAGCUGUGAUGGGGAGAAGACAUUGUGUCUUCGAGUCGUUGAUUUCACACUGCCGAGAAAAGCCUCUAGAUAGAAAAUAGGUGCCCGUACCGCAAACCGACACAGGUAGUCAAGAUGAGAAUUCUAAGGUGAGCGAGCGAACUCUCGUUAAGGAACUCGGCAAAAUGACCCCGUAACUUCGGGAGAAGGGGUGCUCUUUAGGGUUAACGCCCAGAAGAGCCGCAGUGAAUAGGCCCAAGCGACUGUUUAUCAAAAACACAGGUCUCUGCUAAACCGUAAGGUGAUGUAUAGGGGCUGACGCCUGCCCGGUGCUGGAAGGUUAAGAGGAGUGGUUAGCUUCUGCGAAGCUACGAAUCGAAGCCCCAGUAAACGGCGGCCGUAACUAUAACGGUCCUAAGGUAGCGAAAUUCCUUGUCGGGUAAGUUCCGACCCGCACGAAAGGCGUAACGAUUUGGGCACUGUCUCAACGAGAGACUCGGUGAAAUCAUAGUACCUGUGAAGAUGCAGGUUACCCGCGACAGGACGGAAAGACCCCGUGGAGCUUUACUGUAGCCUGAUAUUGAAAUUCGGCACAGCUUGUACAGGAUAGGUAGGAGCCUUUGAAACGUGAGCGCUAGCUUACGUGGAGGCGCUGGUGGGAUACUACCCUAGCUGUGUUGGCUUUCUAACCCGCACCACUUAUCGUGGUGGGAGACAGUGUCAGGCGGGCAGUUUGACUGGGGCGGUCGCCUCCUAAAAGGUAACGGAGGCGCUCAAAGGUUCCCUCAGAAUGGUUGGAAAUCAUUCAUAGAGUGUAAAGGCAUAAGGGAGCUUGACUGCGAGACCUACAAGUCGAGCAGGGUCGAAAGACGGACUUAGUGAUCCGGUGGUUCCGCAUGGAAGGGCCAUCGCUCAACGGAUAAAAGCUACCCCGGGGAUAACAGGCUUAUCUCCCCCAAGAGUUCACAUCGACGGGGAGGUUUGGCACCUCGAUGUCGGCUCAUCGCAUCCUGGGGCUGUAGUCGGUCCCAAGGGUUGGGCUGUUCGCCCAUUAAAGCGGUACGCGAGCUGGGUUCAGAACGUCGUGAGACAGUUCGGUCCCUAUCCGUCGUGGGCGUAGGAAAUUUGAGAGGAGCUGUCCUUAGUACGAGAGGACCGGGAUGGACAUACCUCUGGUGUACCAGUUGUCGUGCCAACGGCAUAGCUGGGUAGCUAUGUGUGGACGGGAUAAGUGCUGAAAGCAUCUAAGCAUGAAGCCCCCCUCAAGAUGAGAUUUCCCAACUUCGGUUAUAAGAUCCCUCAAAGAUGAUGAGGUUAAUAGGUUCGAGGUGGAAGCAUGGUGACAUGUGGAGCUGACGAAUACUAA